UUGCAUUUUUAAUUUAUUUUAAAAUAAUUUUUUGUUUUUUACUUAAUAUUUGUUUUAAAAUAAUUAAUUUUUUUAUUUGACAAAAAUAGUCAAAAAUAAAAAAUUAUUUUCACGUUUUGUUAUCAUUAUUUUUAUUAUUGUGUUUUAUUAUUAUUAUCAAAAACUCAAAAAGAGAAUUUUUUGAAUUAUGGUUUUUUUAGAAAAAAAU
rnacentral:lncRNA from 1 species